AGCGAACGUUUGCGGCGGGCUUAACACAUGCAAGUCGAACGAGAAUCCCUUCGGGGAGAAAAGUGGCGCACGGGUGCGUAACACGUGGAUAACCAACCCAUUGGUUUGGGACAACACCGGGAAACUGGUGCUAAUACCAGAUGUGUCGCAGCUGUCUUCAGGCGGUUGCGAGAAAGGCCCGCAAGGGUCGCCAACGGACGGGUCCGCGUCCCAUCCAGCUAGUUGGUGAGGUAAUGGCUCACCAAGGCAAAGACGGGUAGCUGGUCUGAGAGGAUGAUCAGCCACACUGGAACUGAGACACGGUCCAGACUCCUACGGGAGGCAGCAGUGGGGAAUAUUGCGCAAUGGGCGAAAGCCUGACGCAGCCACGCCGCGUGAGCGAUGAAGGUCUUCGGAUCGUAAAGCUCUGUGGGGGGAGAAGAAGAAAGCCGGUGAAGAGCCGGCCCUGACGGUAUCCCCUUAGCAAGCACCGGCUAACUCCGUGCCAGCAGCCG
rnacentral:rRNA from 1 species